rnacentral:rRNA from 1 species
GACGAACGCUGGCGGCGUGCCUAAUACAUGCAAGUCGAACGCUGAAGCGAGGAGCUUGCUCUUCUGGGCUGAGUUGCGAACGGGUGAGUAACGCGUAGGUAACCUGCCUAGUAGCCGGGGAUAACUACUGGAAACGAUAGCUAAUACCGCAUAAUAAUGGAUGACACAUGUUUGUUAUUUGAAAGGGGCAAUUGCUCUACUACAUGAUGGACCUGCGUUGUAUUAGCUAGUAGGUGAGGGAAUGGCCCACCUAGGCGACGUAACAUAGCCGACCUGAGAGGGUGUUCGGCCAACCUGGGACCGGAGCCCGGCCCCAAAUCCUGCGGGAGGCAGCAGUUGGGGAACUUUGGCAAUGGGGGCAACCCUGACCGAGGCACGCCGCGUGAAUGCAGAAGGUUUUCCGAUCCGUAAGCUCUGUUGUAAGUCGAGAACGAAUGUUAGAGUGAAAAGUUCACGCUGUGACGGUAGCUUACCAGAAAGCGACGGCUAACUACGUG